GGUAGAUGGGCAGCACGCGGUCGCGCUGCAGCGAGCGCAGGUACGCCAUGCCGGAGGCCCGGUCACUGGUCACUGGUCACAGCUAGCACGUACCAUGAUGUGCUUGCUGUUGAGGUGGUAGGUGGGCAGCACGCGGUCGCGCUGCAGCGAGUGCAGGUACGCCAUGCCGGCGGCCCGGUCACUGGUCACUGUUCACUGGUCACUGGUCACAGCUAGCACGUACCAUGAUGUGCUUGCUGUUGAGGUGGUAGGUGGGCAGCACGCGGUCGCGCUGCAGCGAGUGCAGGUACGCCAUGCCGGCGGUCCGGUCACUGGUCACUGUUCACUGGUCACUGGUCACAGCUAGCACGUACCAUGAUGUGCUUGCUGUUGAGGUGGUAGGUAGGCAGCACGCGGUCGCGCUACAGCGAGUGCAGGUACGCCAUGCCGGCGGCCCGGUCACGGGUCACUGUUCACUGGUCACUGGUCACAGCUAGUACGUACCAUGAUGUGCUUGCUGUUAAGGUGGUAGAUGGGCAGCACGCGGUCGCGCUGCAGCGAGUGCAGGUACGCCAUGCCGGCGGCCCGGUCACUGGUCACUGUUCACUGGUCACUGGUCACAGCUAGCACGUACCAUGAUGUGCUUGCUGUUGAGGUGGCAGGUGGGCAGCACGCGGUCGCGCUGCAGUGAGUGCAGGUACGCCAUGCCGGCGGCCCGGUCACUGGUCACUGUUCACUGGUCACAGCUAGCACGUACCAUGAUGUGCUUGCUGUUGAGGUGGUAGGUGGGCAGCACGCGGUCGCGCUGCAGCGAGUGCAGGUACGCCAUGCCGGCGGCCUGGUCACUGGUCAAUGUUCACUGGUCACAGCUGCACGUACCAUGAUGUGCUUGCUGUUGAGGUGGUAGGUGGGCAGCACGCGGUCGCGCUGCAGCGAGUGCAGGUACGCCAUGCCGGCGGCCUGGUCACUGGUCAAUGUUCACUGGUCACAGCUGCACGUACCAUGAUGUGCUUGCUGUUGAGGUGGUAGGUGGGCAGCACGCGGUCGCGCUGCAGCGAGUGCAGGUACACCAUGCCGGCGGCCCGGUCACUGGUCACUGGUCACUGUUCACUGGUCACAGCUGCACGUACCAUGAUGUCCUUGCUGUUGAGGUGGUAGGUGGGCAGCACGCGGUCGCGCUGCAGCGAGUGCAGGUACGCCAUGCCGGCGGCCUGGUCACUGGUCACUGUUCACUGGUCACAGCUGUACGUACCAUGAUGUGCUUGCUGUUGAGGUGGUAGGUGAGCAGCACGCGGUCGCGCUGCAGCGAGUGCAGGUACGCCAUGCCGGCGGCCUGGUCACUGGUCACUGUUCACUGGUCACAGCUGCACGUACCAUGAUGUGCUUGCUGUUGAGGUGGUAGGUGGGCAGCACGCGGUCGCGCUGCAGCGAGUGCAGGUACGCCAUGCCGGCGGCCUGGUCACUGGUCACUGUUCACUGGUCACAGCUAGCACGUACCAUGAUGUGCUUGCUGUUUAGGUGGUAGGUGGGCAGCACGCGGUCGCGCUGCAGCCAGUGCAGGUACGCCAUGCCGGCGGCUUGGUCACUGGUCACUGUUCACUGGUCACAGCUAGCACGUACCAUGAUGUGCUUGCUGUUGAGGUGGUAGGUGGGCAGCACGCGGUCGCGCUGCAGCGAGUGCAGGUACGCCAUGCCGGCGGCCUGGUCACUGGUCACUGUUCACUGGUCACAGCUGCACGUACCAUGAUGUGCUUGCUGUUGAGGUGGUAGGUGGGCAGCACGCGGUCGCGCUGCAGCGAGUGCAGGUACGCCAUGCCGGCGGCCUGGUCACUGUUCACUGGUCACAGCUGCACGUACCAUGAUGUGCUUGCUGUUGAGGUGGUAGGUAGGCAGCACGCGGUCGCGCUGCAGCGAGUGCAGGUACGCCAUGCCGGCCGCCACGUCGCGCGCCAGGCGCACGGCGGCGCCCGCGUCCA
rnacentral:lncRNA from 1 species